AUUGAACGCUGGCGGCAUGCCUUACACAUGCAAGUCGAACGGUAACAGGUCUUCGGAUGCUGACGAGUGGCGAACGGGUGAGUAAUACAUCGGAACGUGCCUAGUAGUGGGGGAUAACUACUCGAAAGAGUGGCUAAUACCGCAUGAGAUCUACGGAUGAAAGCAGGGGAUCGAAAGACCUUGUGCUACUAGAGCGGCCGAUGGCAGAUUGGGUAGUUGGUGGGAUAAAAGCUUACCAAGCCGACGAUCUGUAGCUGGUCUGAGAGGACGAUCUGCGACACUGGGACUGAGACACGGCCCAGAGUCCUACGGGAGGCAGCAGUGGGGAAUUUUGGACAAUGGGCGCAAGCCUGAUCCAGCAAUGCCGCGUGCAGGAUGAAGGCCUUCGGGUUGUAAACUGCUUUUGUACGGAACGAAAAGCCCUGGGUUAAUACCCUGGGGUCAUGGCGGUACCGUAAGAAUAAGCACCGGCUAACUACGUGCCAGCCGCCGCCGUAAUAC
rnacentral:rRNA from 1 species